UGGAAUGAAUGGUUGGAUGAAAAAUUUACUUUCUUUAUUUUAAAAAUAAAAAUUAAUUAUUGGCUUAAAAAGUCUAAAUUUUAUUAAAGGACGAGAAGACCCUAUAGAACUUUACUUUUUUUUAUGUAAUUAUUUAUUUGAAAAUAAUUAGUUUUUAUUUAUUAAAAAGUUUUGUUGGGGUGACAAAAAAAAAUUAAUAACUUUUUUUAUUUUUAUCAUUUAUAUAUGAUUUUGUUUGAUCCUUUAUUAUGGAUAAUAAGAUUUAGUUACCUUAGGGAUAACAGCGUUAUUAUUUCAGAGAGUUCAUAUUUAUGAAAUAGUUUGCCACCUCGAUGUUGGAU
rnacentral:rRNA from 1 species